UACAGAGGAUGCAAGCGUUAUCCGGAAUGAUUGGGCGUAAAGCGUCUGUAGGUGGCUUUUUAAGUCCGCCGUCAAAUCCCAGGGCUCAACUCUGGACAGGCGGUGGAAACUACCAAGCUGGAGUACGGUAGGGGCAGAGGGAAUUUCCGGUGGAGCGGUGAAAUGCGUAGAUAUCUGGAGGAACACCGGUGGCGAAGGCGGCAUCCUGGACCGGUAUUGACACUGAGGCGCGAAAGCCAGGGGAGCAAACGGG
rnacentral:rRNA from 1 species